AGUGAACGCUGGCGGUAGGCCUAACACAUGCAAGUCGAACGGCAGCACAGUAAGAGCUUGCUCUUACGGGUGGCGAGUGGCGGACGGGUGAGGAAUACAUCGGAAUCUACUUUUUCGUGGGGGAUAACGUAGGGAAACUUAUGCUAAUACCGCAUACGACCUACGGGUGAAAGCAGGGGAUCUUCGGACCUUGCGCGAUUGAAUGAGCCGAUGUCGGAUUAGCUAGUUGGCGGGGUAAAGGCCCACCAAGGCGACGAUCCGUAGCUGGCAUGAGAGGAUGAUCAGCCACACUGGAACUGAGGCACGGCCCAGACUCCUACGGUGGGCAGCAGUGGGGAAUAUUAGACAAUGGGGGCAAGCCUGAUCCAGCCAUACCGCGUGAGUGAAGAAGGCCUUCGGGUGGUAAAGCCCUUUUGUUGGGAAAGAAAAGCAGCAGGUUAAUACCCCGCUGUUCUGACGGUACCCAAAGAAUAAGCACCGGCUAACUUCGUG
rnacentral:rRNA from 1 species